CCGCAAGAGCAACAAUGGCGUGCCGUGAAUCACCUUUUUUUUUGCAAUCCCAUAUUCAACUUGCCUUAUCCCUCCAACCGUAUUCUUCGCUGAUGUCGAUGAUUUGUAGUUUCUACUAAUGCGUGCUUGCUUAUCGUGUUGACCAAUUUGUAUGCGCUCCGCAGCUCGGUACAUUUGUGAGCUGUUCUAUGACACUUCAUAAACGCCUUCAGGCCCCAGCGCACGCAAUCGCCCUCUGCACCGGCAGGUUGGAUAUCACCAUACUUCUCAGCUUAUAGUCAUGCAGUCAUAGUCAUAUCCUUUCGACAUUCAUCACAGUUCAUAAUCCAGAAAUCACGAAUAAAAGGAUUCAACAAUUCAUCCGACCGUUUGGCCCAUAUAAUCACCAGAAAGGAUAGCGCACACGAUGGAGGCUGUCACAUCUCCUCUUUUCGUCGUCUUGGCAGCCCUGCUCUGAUCUGUCUGGGUAGAUUGGCAGUAUCGUUGUCGUCCCGAUCUUUCUCUUUCUAAAGUCAACUUCGCCGUCCGGUUGACUCUGAUGCUGUCAAAAGUGGCUUAGUCUUUGCAUUCCUUAUCAGAACUUUGUUCCGGAUAGCAAUGGUCCUGUCCAACCGGGCGCCUACAUUUUCCGAGAUAACGAAGAUUUGACAUGGUCUGGACUCGGAUAUUUCGGUGUGGACUGCAAAUUUCAGGCCUGACGUCUUCAAUAACCAUCCUGUGCUUCGUGCUACAUAAGGAUCAGCGAAGGAGCGUGGUCUGAUGCACGGCAAUUAUGGGAUUCUCAAUGACAACUGCAAGUUCAUCAAAGCUUUUCAAGUUCAAAGCCAUCACCACCUUUCUGUCCAUGCAUCUUUGAUUCUGGACGGUGAGACGGUCUUGAUUGAGAGUCCUAUUCCUACCAUCCCACGACUUGGAACCGUAAGGCGGAGAGAAGGGGCAGAGUUAGGUCCUUGCUAGUCGCUUCCAAUGUGAGGUCUGUACUCACUUUUGGCAAAGGCGCCUCGCUAUGCUACGGUACCAGCCCCGCCGAUGCCUACAAUUACUUUCACAUCAACAGUAUUGUUUAAGAUAACAACGGGAAUUUCAUUCAUCUCUGCGCGAAAUUAUGCUUCUAUCUUCAAGGUCAACGAUACUAGCGGAGGUGCCGUCUGACGACUGGGUGGUUUCCACAACUGAUCCUUCUUUCAAAACCGAACCUGAAGCUCGAUUCGCUUACCAGCACGAUGCUCGAUACAUCUCCCGCACCGACGACGGCAAGAUCGAAGUCAUUCCCUCCACGGCAACGCUGCCCGCUCUAUUGGAGAAACCAUUAGCAACGUCUCUCGAGCCUUUGUAUCCAACCCCAACCACACCGCCGGUACAGAUUCUGCCCUCCAAUCAUACCCUGCACUCGAUGGUUUGCUCGUUUACUCCCAACGUAACGCUCAACUCCUGUCCAAUGAAAAUACUUUUGCUACCUGGGCCUGGCCGGAGCCAUCACUGAAUACAAGGAAGAUGGCAGAGUCCUCUUCCAUGUAUACUUGGAUUCCCAACCGGAAGGGUAAUUUGUCCAGAGUUACUAGGGAUUUAAAUACAACUGGGCCGGUAUUUCUUUUGAAGAACCUGCUACUGUUGCUUUGAGGGGCCAAGGAGAUGUCUCCGCCCAUGGAAUAAUCUCUCUAUUCACGUUACGAUUGACUAGAUGUCCGCACAUGAGAAGGAGGACCACCAUUCGAAUGAGUGGUUUUGAAGUUUUCUUCGUCGUUACCGAUAAUUAAACUCGAACCAAACCGAAAGAACUGCUAAAUAGGCCGUAGGUUCACAAAUGUCGUCAAGUAACGAGACGAAUAACACUUUGUUUGAGCUUGGACAAUUGAUUGUUUAGCAAUUAACGAUGAUGACCGAUAGAGGAUACUUCUUUUUCUUGGUUACCAUCGACAACUAUGUCGUUCGAACAUCCUUAAUAGUCGUACUGCGGUUCCCAUGGAUCUCAGAUCUUCGGACUUUCGGACUUUCCUCUUGCUGUGCCCAUACGACAACUGCGGCAUCUCCUAUUACUCUGCUCUCUCUCAUCAGCAGCAUCCAUAGUGUAUCUCCCUUUACCUAGCCUCGAGAUGAUUGGGACGAAAUGAAGACUUCGGACUUCGGGAGCUAUGCAAGUUCUCGAUCUAACCUUGAACUAUUGUAGUGGUCUGGCAGGGUCUGGGAACACGGAUGUAGGAAGAUGAACGGCUCUUGCAUUGUCUCAACUACCUCACCUCUGAGCUUCAGGUCUCGCUGAACUUUUUCUCCAGCUUCAGAGCAAGAGAGUCCACGUCAGUUGCUUCGCAUGGAAACAAACCAGAUCUUCCUCCAUAACUAGAUGAUAUACACUCAAGCAUUGACAGUAAAUGUGUUCCUUAGCCUGUAGCUCAUGUGGUCAUUCGUACAGAAGAAAAAGAGGAUGCAUAGCAUAAUACGAAU
rnacentral:sRNA from 1 species